GCCUUCUUAGCUCAGUUGGUAGAGCAGCUCACUCGUAAUGAGCAGGUCGUGGGUUCGAGUCCCAUGGAAGGCUCAA
rnacentral:tRNA from 1 species